GACGAACGCUGGCGGCGUGCCUAAUACAUGCAAGUUGAGCGCUGAAGGUUGGUACUUGUACCAACUGGAUGAGCAGCGAACGGGUGAGUAACGCGUGGGGAAUCUGCCUUUGAGCGGGGGACAACAUUUGGAAACGAAUGCUAAUACCGCAUAAAAACUUUAAACACAAGUUUUAAGUUUGAAAGAUGCAAUUGCAUCACUCAAAGAUGAUCCCGCGUUGUAUUAGCUAGUUGGUGAGGUAAAGGCUCACCAAGGCGAUGAUACGUAGCCGACCUGAGAGGGUGAUCGGCCACAUUGGGACUGAGACACGGCCCAAACUCCUACGGGAGGCAGCAGUAGGGAAUCUUCGGCAAUGGACGAAAGUCUGACCGAGCAACGCCGCGGGAGCGAAGAAGGUUUUCGGAUCGUAAAACUCUGUUGGUAGAGAAGAACGUUGGUGAGAGUGGAAAGCUCAUCAAGUGACGGUAACUACCCAGAAAGGGACGGCUAACUACGUG
rnacentral:rRNA from 1 species